rnacentral:rRNA from 1 species
ACACNCAAGUNGAACGUGAAAGGGGCUUCGNCCNUGAGUAAAGUGGCGCACGGGUGAGUAACACGUGGAUAAUCUACCCGAUGGACCGGGAUAACACUUCGAAAGGGCUGCUAAUACCGGAUAAGCCCACAGGCUCUUUGGAGCCUGCGGGAAAAGGUGGGGACCUUCGGGCCUACCGUCAUCGGAUGAGUCCGCGGCCCAUUAGCUAGUUGGUGGGGUAAUGGCCUACCAAGGCAACGAUGGGUAGCUGGUCUGAGAGGAUGAUCAGCCACACUGGAACUGAGACACGGUCCAGACUCCUACGGGAGGCAGCAGUGGGGAAUUUUGCGCAAUGCGCCAAAGCCUAACGCAGCAACGCCGCGUGAGUGAUGAAGGCCCUCGGGUCGUAAAGCUCUGUCAGNNGGGAAGAAAC